rnacentral:rRNA from 1 species
AUUGAACGCUGGCGGCAGGCCUAACACAUGCAAGUCGAACGAGUGGCGGACGGGUGAGUAAUGUCUGGGAAACUGCCUGAUGGAGGGGGAUAACUACUGGAAACGGUAGCUAAUACCGCAUACCAUCGGAUGUGCCCAGAUGGGAUUAGCUAGUAGGUGGGGUAACGGCUCACCUAGGCGACGAUCCCUAGCUGGUCUGAGAGGAUGACCGGCCACACCGGGACUGAGACACGGUCCAGACGCCUACGGGAGGAAGCAGUGGGGAAUAUUGCACAAUGGGCGAAAUCCUGAUGCGGCCAUGCCGCGGGUGUGAAGAAGGCCUUCGGGGUGUAAAGUACGUUCAGCGGGUAGGCGGUACCCGCAGAAGAAGCGCCGGCUAACUCCGUGCCAGCAGCCGCGGUAAUAC